rnacentral:lncRNA from 1 species
GUUAAAUUUGAAAAAACAAAAUCGACAAAAACAAGAACUAGAAACAAACCUUGGUUUUGACGGGUCUCUCUCUCAUGACGACAUCAACAUAGGACAUGAACAAUCUCCAAUCAAGAGUCGCUGUCGUCCCUAUCCCACUCCGACAACAUCUCCUACGUCAUAGCCGCCGUCGACAACUCCUACGUCACAGCCGCCAUCGACACCUCCCCCUCAAGUCGCCAUCGUCUUUCUUUUGUGUAAACCUAGAUCCCAAUUUCAACUGUAAGUGCUAAAUCAUCCAAUUCCCAGUAGUUAUUACACUUUUUUAACAUAUAUUAUUUGAUUGAGAUGUUUAAUUUCGAAAACCCUAAAUCUCAAUUUCAACAUUCUUUCACUUUGAAAU